UUAGCUAUUUUAGAUAGGUUUGUAUUCAUGAAAUCAUGGGUGCAAACAGCAAAAACUGUUUUUGUAUCUAUGAUGGCUAGAGCACUUUGCACUGAACAAACAGCCACGUAGACAAUCCUAAGUGGCGAACGAAAGUAUUGAACUGACGACUUUUAUCAAUCCAUUUAGGCAUAUUGUCUGAAUGGAUUUUUUGUUUUAACAA
rnacentral:ncRNA from 1 species